GGCCAAGAUUCUCCAGGCAUAAUUAAUUCUCAUGGGAAGCUAUUAAUUUCAAGGGAUAUCACCACUAUGACAUUGCUCUUCUUGGCCUGAGAGGAUGGUUCUGAGCUAGAGGUUAGCUACUAAGAGGUCAUUUGGCUCAUUACUUCCCUCAUCAUGAAGAAACUGAGACCCAGGAAGCUUAGCCAAUGAAAAUGAUCAAUGGUAAGUGCCCAAGGGAGAUGGAAAGGGAUAGUAUCAAAAGACUAACUUAAGGCUAUUAUUAUCCUUGGCAAUGGAAUGGGUUACUUUUUCUUAAAAGACUGGAGCAAAGGAAGAAAGAUAAGGUAAAAGUAAGGUGUUGGUUUUGAGGUAUGUACUGAGUAGAAAUGAUGAGGGAGCUCCUGAUUUAAGGUCUUGGUUUUCUCAGCAAAGUAGAAAUCAUAUGGUAAGAGAGAGAGGUAUAGUAACAAUUAUGUUAGAAGUUUGAGGAG